UAUUAGUUUUAAUUUGUUUGUUGUUUGUUGUAAACUUUUUUGCGUCAAUUAUUUGCGAAUAUUAUCUGUUUAAAAUUGUUAUUAUUAAUGGCUACAAAUUUAAAAAAAUGUCCUUAUGGCGAGCAGUGUUACAGGAAGAAUCCUAUACAUUUUGGAGAGUUUUCCCAUCCGCAUUUGGACCAGAUAUACGCUAAAGGCUUGGACUCCAAAACCAAUAAAUAUGUAAUACCUGAUGAACUUUUUAUGACUGCAGAAUUAAUAGAAACCCAGUUGAAACUGCUCGAAAAGCUGUUUCCAAAAGCAGGUAGUAGCACAGGAAAUACAACGACGUCAAAAGCAAGUAAAGUUGAUAACAACCGCAGUGAAAAACGAUUGGAUGGUGGACCAAUAAAACAGGAACCAGUGAAACGAAGUAAGUCGCCCGAGACUUUCAGUUCCAAUAUGAACGUGCCAUCGACUUCAAACGCCAACUCCUCUUCUAUGGAUAAUUCCAAACUUUCUAAAAAGGCCAAAAUAACAAGAAAUGUCAAAGAUUAUAUACCAGUAGUUCUGGAGAAAGGACAUGCCGCUGAAAAGCUAGAGCGCGCUGCACCUUAUAAUUUUUUUCUAACAGCUAUUACCGAUUCGAAACUCACUCAUCAUGAGCCAUUAACAAUAACAUUACUAGAAAUUCUUGAUGAGAGCCUGGGUGAGAUUGAAUCAACGGUGCAAAUAAAUUUUAUGGUGGAUAUAGGCUGGUUACUAGGACAUUACUAUUUCGCUGGUAUAAUGGGCACUCCGUUACUUGUUCUCUAUGGUGACGAAACACCGGAUUUAGCAAAUAUUUCUAAAACACAUCCUGAAGUCACAGCAAUUAAAGUGAACAUGCCUACAAAUUUCGCUACAUCGCAUGCUAAAGUAAUGCUUCUGGGCUAUACUGAUGGUAGUAUGCGUGUAGUAAUUUCAACGGCAAAUCUAUAUGAAGACGAUUGGCACAAUCGUACACAAGGCAUUUGGAUAAGUCCAAAAUUGCCUGCGUUACCAGCCGAUGUAGACACCACGGCCGGAGAGAGUCCUACAAACUUUCGACAGGAUUUUAUGUUGUAUUUAGUAGAAUAUAAAUUAGCAAAGUUACAGCCUUGGAUAGCACGAAUACGCAAAACGGAUUUCAGUUCCAUAAAUGUUUUCUUCAUCGGUUCCACUCCCGGCGGUUUUCGCGAGGGUCCACGUGGAUUCCCUUGGGGACAUCCCCGUGUCGCUGAUUUGCUCAAAAAGCAUUGCACCACUGUCGAUGCGAGAGUGCCCGUAAUUUGUCAAAGCUCCAGCAUUGGUUCACUUGGUCCAAACAUACAAACCUGGGUACAGCAUGAUUUCCUCAAUAGUCUGCGCAAACAUUCCGGACAACAAGGACUUACACAUUUUCCACCUUUCAAAAUGAUAUACCCCAGCUUCGCCAAUGUCAACAACAGUCAUGAUGGUUUGCUAGGUGGUGGAUGUCUACCAUAUGGUGCAAAUACCAACGAUAAACAGUCUUGGCUGCGUGGUCACCUAUUCCAAUGGAGUUCGAAAGAGCGUUUUCGUUCGCAAGCUAUGCCGCACAUUAAAACUUAUACACGCAUGAAAUUGGAGGACCAGUCCAUCUAUUGGUUUAUGUUGACCUCGGCAAAUUUGUCGAAAGCAGCAUGGGGAGCUUUCAACAAAAACGUUAAUAUCGCAUCGUGCUUAAGAAUUUUGAACUUUGAAGCCGGUGUGCUCUUCUUGCCGAGAUUCGUGACCGGUGAGGAGACGUUUCCUUUAGGACAUGUGCGCGAUGGCAUACCACCAUUUCCGUUACCGUAUGAUGUGCCCUUAACACCGUAUGCACCGGACGAUAAACCAUUUUUGAUGGACUAUUUGCGUUAGUGAUACAUUCCAGGAACCAGUAAAACGAAGUAAGUCGGCCGAGACUUUCAGUUUCAAUAUGAACGUGCCGUGUUAUAAAAGACUUCAAACGCCAACUCCUCUUCUAUGGAUAAUUCCAAUCUUUCUAAAAAAGUCAAAAUAACAAGAAACGUUAAAGAUUAUAUACCGGUAAUACUGGAAUAAGAACAUGCCGCCGAAAAGUUAGAGCGCGCUUUUUUUUCUUACAGCUAUUAUCGAUUCGAAACUCACACUUCAUGAAACGUUAACAAUAACAUUACUAGAAAUCCUUGAUGAGAGUCUGAGUGAGAUUGAAUCAUUCCGGACAACAAGGGCUUACACAUUUUCAGCCUUUCAAAAUUAUAUACUCCAGCUUCGCCAAUGUCUAAAACAGUCAUGAUGGUUUGCUAGGCGGUGGAUGUCUACUAUACGGCGCAAAUACCAACUAUAAACAGUCCUGGCUGUGUGUUCACGGUGCACCAGUCCAUAUAUUGGUUUAUGUUGACUUCCGCAAAUUUAUCGAAAGCAGCAUGGGGAGCUUUCAACAAAAACGUUAAUAUGGCUUCGUGUUUGAGAAUUUUAAACUUUGAAGCUAGUGUGGUCUUCUGGCCGAGAUUCGUGACCGGUGAGGAGACAUUAUCUUAUGAUGUGCCCUUAAGACCGCAUUCACCGGACGAUAAACCAUUUUGAUUGACUAUUUGCGUUAGUGAUACAUUCGUAUAUACAGCUGUUAUUCCUUUAUAGUAUCUCAAAUCAACAUAAUUAUAAUUUACAAAUCUAAUUUGCGUUCACUUUUAUAGUUAAAAACAUAUACUCGCACAUAUUAAUUAUACAAACAAAGGCAGUGAAUAAACACUUCUUCACACAUUCAAAUUCACAGUAUUGGAGCUUUGUUUACCUUAAUUCACACCACAUUAAUU